GUAGGCUGAGUAUACAGAAUGCUGUUCUCCACACUUCCAUAAGCAAAGGAUCCCUAGCACAAGAAAGACAUGGAGCUGUUGGAGCAAAUCCUGAGGCGGGCCACAAAGACAAUCAGAAGGCUGGAGCACCGCCCCUGUGAAGAGAGGCUGAGGGAGCUAACUCUGAAUCCCUGAGCCGACGUUGACAUAUUCUCACACUGAAAAGCUUCCCUUAAAAACUGCAGUGUCACUGGAAUGGGAGCCCAGAUAAGUACCUGCCUAUACCAAAGGUUGUGUUGGUGUUGUCUUUCUCUGACAGAGAGUGAAGCCAGGUCACAGCCAGAAAGUACAUGAGGCCACAAAGAAGCAAAGAUUUUAGCUACAUGUUCAGUCGGGAGCAGCAGUGAGACAAUCUGAAAGCGAGCACGACAAGACGAGAAGAAAAAGAAGACAACCCAGGUCAGGUUUCUCUGCAGUUAGAUCUCCAUGAAUUAUCUUAAGAAGAAACGUGGGCUGCUGAACUCAGCCUGUGGAUUGUCAAACAGCUGGCCAAAACCCUUUUAAGACAAGGGAUAAAAAGAAACUGGUUUGGUGGCCUGCCUUUUCCCAGAAGCAAUACAGCCUCGCUGGUCAAUGUUCAACAGAUACUGCAUGUUGUGGGAUCCAGCUUACUGUUAAGAACUAUGUGCUGAGUUGUCAACGUUUGGACAGCACUGGGCUACACACAGAUUUUCAUGAAGGCUGAUUCCUUACAUGCUGGUUAAACAUUACUAUUCCAACAAGAG
rnacentral:lncRNA from 1 species